rnacentral:rRNA from 1 species
UACGUAGGUUGCGAGCGUUAUUCGGAUUUACUGGGCGUAAAGAGCACCGAGGUGGCUUCUUAAGUUGGAUGUAAAAUCUCCUGGCUUAACUGGGAGGCGCCAUUCAAAACUGAGGAGCUUGAGGUCAGCAGGGGAAGGUGGAAUUCCCGGUGUAGUGGUGGAAUGCGUAGAGAUCGGGAGGAACACCAGAGGCGAAGGCGGCUCACUGGACAGGUACUGACACUCAACUACGAAAGCGUGGGGAGCAAACAGG